UUAAGCGACUAAGCGUACACGGUGGAUGCCCUGGCAGUCAGAGGCGAUGAAGGACGUGCUAAUCUGCGAUAAGCGUCGGUAAGGUGAUAUGAACCGUUAUAACCGGCGAUUUCCGAAUGGGGAAACCCAGUGUGUUUCGACACACUAUCAUUAACUGAAUCCAUAGGUUAAUGAGGCGAACCGGGGGAACUGAAACAUCUAAGUACCCCGAGGAAAAGAAAUCAACCGAGAUUCCCCCAGUAGCGGCGAGCGAACGGGGAGCAGCCCAGAGCCUGAAUCAGUGUGUGUGUUAGUGGAAGCGUCUGGAAAGGCGCGCGAUACAGGGUGACAGCCCCGUACACAAAAAUGCACAUGCUGUGAGCUCGAUGAGUAGGGCGGGACACGUGGUAUCCUGUCUGAAUAUGGGGGGACCAUCCUCCAAGGCUAAAUACUCCUGACUGACCGAUAGUGAACCAGUACCGUGAGGGAAAGGCGAAAAGAACCCCGGCGAGGGGAGUGAAAAAGAACCUGAAACCGUGUACGUACAAGCAGUGGGAGCACGCUUAGGCGUGUGACUGCGUACCUUUUGUAUAAUGGGUCAGCGACUUAUAUUCUGUAGCAAGGUUAACCGAAUAGGGGAGCCGAAGGGAAACCGAGUCUUAACUGGGCGUUAAGUUGCAGGGUAUAGACCCGAAACCCGGUGAUCUAGCCAUGGGCAGGUUGAAGGUUGGGUAACACUAACUGGAGGACCGAACCGACUAAUGUUGAAAAAUUAGCGGAUGACUUGUGGCUGGGGGUGAAAGGCCAAUCAAACCGGGAGAUAGCUGGUUCUCCCCGAAAGCUAUUUAGGUAGCGCCUCGUGAAUUCAUCUCCGGGGGUAGAGCACUGUUUCGGCAAGGGGGUCAUCCCGACUUACCAACCCGAUGCAAACUGCGAAUACCGGAGAAUGUUAUCACGGGAGACACACGGCGGGUGCUAACGUCCGUCGUGAAGAGGGAAACAACCCAGACCGCCAGCUAAGGUCCCAAAGUCAUGGUUAAGUGGGAAACGAUGUGGGAAGGCCCAGACAGCCAGGAUGUUGGCUUAGAAGCAGCCAUCAUUUAAAGAAAGCGUAAUAGCUCACUGGUCGAGUCGGCCUGCGCGGAAGAUGUAACGGGGCUAAACCAUGCACCGAAGCUGCGGCAGCGACGCUGAUGCGUUGUUGGGUAGGGGAGCGUUCUGUAAGCCUGCGAAGGUGUGCUGUGAGGCAUGCUGGAGGUAUCAGAAGUGCGAAUGCUGACAUAAGUAACGAUAAAGCGGGUGAAAAGCCCGCUCGCCGGAAGACCAAGGGUUCCUGUCCAACGUUAAUCGGGGCAGGGUGAGUCGACCCCUAAGGCGAGGCCGAAAGGCGUAGUCGAUGGGAAACAGGUUAAUAUUCCUGUACUUGGUGUUACUGCGAAGGGGGGACGGAGAAGGCUAUGUUGGCCGGGCGACGGUUGUCCCGGUUUAAGCGUGUAGGCUGGUUUUCCAGGCAAAUCCGGAAAAUCAAGGCUGAGGCGUGAUGACGAGGCACUACGGUGCUGAAGCAACAAAUGCCCUGCUUCCAGGAAAAGCCUCUAAGCAUCAGGUAACAUCAAAUCGUACCCCAAACCGACACAGGUGGUCAGGUAGAGAAUACCAAGGCGCUUGAGAGAACUCGGGUGAAGGAACUAGGCAAAAUGGUGCCGUAACUUCGGGAGAAGGCACGCUGAUAUGUAGGUGAAGUCCCUUGCGGAUGGAGCUGAAAUCAGUCGAAGAUACCAGCUGGCUGCAACUGUUUAUUAAAAACACAGCACUGUGCAAACACGAAAGUGGACGUAUACGGUGUGACGCCUGCCCGGUGCCGGAAGGUUAAUUGAUGGGGUCAGCGCAAGCGAAGCUCUUGAUCGAAGCCCCGGUAAACGGCGGCCGUAACUAUAACGGUCCUAAGGUAGCGAAAUUCCUUGUCGGGUAAGUUCCGACCUGCACGAAUGGCGUAAUGAUGGCCAGGCUGUCUCCACCCGAGACUCAGUGAAAUUGAACUCGCUGUGAAGAUGCAGUGUACCCGCGGCAAGACGGAAAGACCCCGUGAACCUUUACUAUAGCUUGACACUGAACAUUGAGCCUUGAUGUGUAGGAUAGGUGGGAGGCUUUGAAGUGUGGACGCCAGUCUGCAUGGAGCCGACCUUGAAAUACCACCCUUUAAUGUUUGAUGUUCUAACGUGGACCCGUGAUCCGGGUUGCGGACAGUGUCUGGUGGGUAGUUUGACUGGGGCGGUCUCCUCCUAAAGAGUAACGGAGGAGCACGAAGGUUGGCUAAUCCUGGUCGGACAUCAGGAGGUUAGUGCAAUGGCAUAAGCCAGCUUGACUGCGAGCGUGACGGCGCGAGCAGGUGCGAAAGCAGGUCAUAGUGAUCCGGUGGUUCUGAAUGGAAGGGCCAUCGCUCAACGGAUAAAAGGUACUCCGGGGAUAACAGGCUGAUACCGCCCAAGAGUUCAUAUCGACGGCGGUGUUUGGCACCUCGAUGUCGGCUCAUCACAUCCUGGGGCUGAAGUAGGUCCCAAGGGUAUGGCUGUUCGCCAUUUAAAGUGGUACGCGAGCUGGGUUUAGAACGUCGUGAGACAGUUCGGUCCCUAUCUGCCGUGGGCGCUGGAGAACUGAGGGGGGCUGCUCCUAGUACGAGAGGACCGGAGUGGACGCAUCACUGGUGUUCGGGUUGUCAUGCCAAUGGCACUGCCCGGUAGCUAAAUGCGGAAGAGAUAAGUGCUGAAAGCAUCUAAGCACGAAACUUGCCCCGAGAUGAGUUCUCCCUGACCCUUUAAGGGUCCUGAAGGAACGUUGAAGACGACGACGUUGAUAGGCCGGGUGUGUAAGCGCAGCGAUGCGUUGAGCUAACCGGUACUAAUGAACCGUGAGGCUUAACCUU
rnacentral:rRNA from 1 species